UUAAGCGACUAAGCGUACACGGUGGAUGCCCUGGCAGUCAGAGGCGAUGAAGGACGUGCUAAUCUGCGAUAAGCGUCGGUAAGGUGAUAUGAACCGUUAUAACCGGCGAUUUCCGAAUGGGGAAACCCAGUGUGAUUCGUCACACUAUCAUUAACUGAAUCCAUAGGUUAAUGAGGCGAACCGGGGGAACUGAAACAUCUAAGUACCCCGAGGAAAAGAAAUCAACCGAGAUUCCCCCAGUAGCGGCGAGCGAACGGGGAGGAGCCCAGAGCCUGAAUCAGUGUGUGUGUUAGUGGAAGCGUCUGGAAAGGCGCGCGAUACAGGGUGACAGCCCCGUACACAAAAAUGCACAUACUGUGAGCUCGAUGAGUAGGGCGGGACACGUGGUAUCCUGUCUGAAUAUGGGGGGACCAUCCUCCAAGGCUAAAUACUCCUGACUGACCGAUAGUGAACCAGUACCGUGAGGGAAAGGCGAAAAGAACCCCGGCGAGGGGAGUGAAAAAGAACCUGAAACCGUGUACGUACAAGCAGUGGGAGCCUCUUUAUGGGGUGACUGCGUACCUUUUGUAUAAUGGGUCAGCGACUUAUAUUCUGUAGCAAGGUUAACCGAAUAGGGGAGCCGAAGGGAAACCGAGUCUUAACUGGGCGUUAAGUUGCAGGGUAUAGACCCGAAACCCGGUGAUCUAGCCAUGGGCAGGUUGAAGGUUGGGUAACACUAACUGGAGGACCGAACCGACUAAUGUUGAAAAAUUAGCGGAUGACUUGUGGCUGGGGGUGAAAGGCCAAUCAAACCGGGAGAUAGCUGGUUCUCCCCGAAAGCUAUUUAGGUAGCGCCUCGUGAAUUCAUCUCCGGGGGUAGAGCACUGUUUCGGCAAGGGGGUCAUCCCGACUUACCAACCCGAUGCAAACUGCGAAUACCGGAGAAUGUUAUCACGGGAGACACACGGCGGGUGCUAACGUCCGUCGUGAAGAGGGAAACAACCCAGACCGCCAGCUAAGGUCCCAAAGUCAUGGUUAAGUGGGAAACGAUGUGGGAAGGCCCAGACAGCCAGGAUGUUGGCUUAGAAGCAGCCAUCAUUUAAAGAAAGCGUAAUAGCUCACUGGUCGAGUCGGCCUGCGCGGAAGAUGUAACGGGGCUAAACCAUGCACCGAAGCUGCGGCAGCGACACUAUGUGUUGUUGGGUAGGGGAGCGUUCUGUAAGCCUGUGAAGGUGUACUGUGAGGUUGCUGGAGGUAUCAGAAGUGCGAAUGCUGACAUAAGUAACGAUAAAGCGGGUGAAAAGCCCGCUCGCCGGAAGACCAAGGGUUCCUGUCCAACGUUAAUCGGGGCAGGGUGAGUCGACCCCUAAGGCGAGGCCGAAAGGCGUAGUCGAUGGGAAACAGGUUAAUAUUCCUGUACUUGGUGUUACUGCGAAGGGGGGACGGAGAAGGCUAUGUUGGCCGGGCGACGGUUGUCCCGGUUUAAGCGUGUAGGCUGAUUUUCCAGGCAAAUCCGGAAAAUCAAGGCUGAGGCGUGAUGACGAGGCACUACGGUGCUGAAGCAACAAAUGCCCUGCUUCCAGGAAAAGCCUCUAAGCAUCAGGUAACAUCAAAUCGUACCCCAAACCGACACAGGUGGUCAGGUAGAGAAUACCAAGGCGCUUGAGAGAACUCGGGUGAAGGAACUAGGCAAAAUGGUGCCGUAACUUCGGGAGAAGGCACGCUGAUAUGUAGGUGAAGCGACUUGCUCGUGGAGCUGAAAUCAGUCGAAGAUACCAGCUGGCUGCAACUGUUUAUUAAAAACACAGCACUGUGCAAACACGAAAGUGGACGUAUACGGUGUGACGCCUGCCCGGUGCCGGAAGGUUAAUUGAUGGGGUUAGCGGUAACGCGAAGCUCUUGAUCGAAGCCCCGGUAAACGGCGGCCGUAACUAUAACGGUCCUAAGGUAGCGAAAUUCCUUGUCGGGUAAGUUCCGACCUGCACGAAUGGCGUAAUGAUGGCCAGGCUGUCUCCACCCGAGACUCAGUGAAAUUGAACUCGCUGUGAAGAUGCAGUGUACCCGCGGCAAGACGGAAAGACCCCGUGAACCUUUACUAUAGCUUGACACUGAACAUUGAGCCUUGAUGUGUAGGAUAGGUGGGAGGCUUUGAAGUGUGGACGCCAGUCUGCAUGGAGCCGACCUUGAAAUACCACCCUUUAAUGUUUGAUGUUCUAACGUUGACCCGUGAUCCGGGUUGCGGACAGUGUCUGGUGGGUAGUUUGACUGGGGCGGUCUCCUCCUAAAGAGUAACGGAGGAGCACGAAGGUUGGCUAAUCCUGGUCGGACAUCAGGAGGUUAGUGCAAUGGCAUAAGCCAGCUUGACUGCGAGCGUGACGGCGCGAGCAGGUGCGAAAGCAGGUCAUAGUGAUCCGGUGGUUCUGAAUGGAAGGGCCAUCGCUCAACGGAUAAAAGGUACUCCGGGGAUAACAGGCUGAUACCGCCCAAGAGUUCAUAUCGACGGCGGUGUUUGGCACCUCGAUGUCGGCUCAUCACAUCCUGGGGCUGAAGUAGGUCCCAAGGGUAUGGCUGUUCGCCAUUUAAAGUGGUACGCGAGCUGGGUUUAGAACGUCGUGAGACAGUUCGGUCCCUAUCUGCCGUGGGCGCUGGAGAACUGAGGGGGGCUGCUCCUAGUACGAGAGGACCGGAGUGGACGCAUCACUGGUGUUCGGGUUGUCAUGCCAAUGGCACUGCCCGGUAGCUAAAUGCGGAAGAGAUAAGUGCUGAAAGCAUCUAAGCACGAAACUUGCCCCGAGAUGAGUUCUCCCUGACUCCUUGAGAGUCCUGAAGGAACGUUGAAGACGACGACGUUGAUAGGCCGGGUGUGUAAGCGCAGCGAUGCGUUGAGCUAACCGGUACUAAUGAACCGUGAGGCUUAACCUU
rnacentral:rRNA from 1 species